rnacentral:rRNA from 1 species
AGAGUUUGAUCCUGGCUCAGAUUGAACGCUGGCGGCAUGCCUUACACAUGCAAGUCGAACGGCAGCACGGGAGCAAUCCUGGUGGCGAGUGGCGAACGGGUGAGUAAUACAUCGGAACGUGCCCAGUAGUGGGGGGAUAGCCCGGCGAAAGCCGGAUUAAUACCGCAUACGACCUACGGGAGAAAGCGGGGGAUCGCAAGACCUCGCGCUAUUGGAGCGGCCGAUGGCAGAUUAGCUUGUUGGUGGGGUAAAAGCCUACCAAGGCGACGAUCUGUAGCUGGUCUGAGAGGACGACCAGCCACACUGGGACUGAGACACGGCCCAGACUCCUACGGGAGGCAGCAGUGGGGAAUUUUGGACAAUGGGCGCAAGCCUGAUCCAGCCAUGCCGCGUGCGGGAAGAAGGCCUUCGGGUUGUAAACCGCUUUUGUCAGGGAAGAAACGCUCCAGGCUAAUAUCUUGGAGUAAUGACGGUACCUGAAGAAUAAGCACCGGCUAACUACGUGCCAGCAGCCGCGGUAAUACGUAGGGUGCAAGCGUUAAUCGGAAUUACUGGGCGUAAAGCGUGCGCAGGCGGCUAUGCAAGACAGAUGUGAAAUCCCCGGGCUCAACCUGGGAACUGCAUUUGUGACUGCAUGGCUAGAGUGCGGCAGAGGGGGAUGGAAUUCCGCGUGUAGCAGUGAAAUGCGUAGAUAUGCGGAGGAACACCGAUGGCGAAGGCAAUCCCCUGGGCCUGCACUGACGCUCAUGCACGAAAGCGUGGGGAGCAAACAGGAUUAGAUACCCUAGUAGUCC